rnacentral:rRNA from 1 species
UACGUAGGGAGCGAGCGUUAUCCGGAUUUAUUGGGCGUAAAGCGUGUGUAGGCGGUUUAUUAAAUCUGAGAUUAAAUACCAAGGCUCAACCUUGGUUUGUUUCGGAAACUGGUAGACUAGAGUAUAGUAGAGGCAAAUGGAAUUCAUAGUGUAGCGGUGGAAUGCGUAGAUAUUAUGAGGAACAUCAGUGGCGAAGGCGAUUUGCUGGGCUGUUACUGACGCUGAGACACGAAAGCGUGGGGAGCGAAUAGGAUUAGAUACCCUAGUAGUCCACGCUGUAAACGAUGAGCACUAAGUGUCGGGCAACCGGUGCUGAAGUUAACACAUUAAGUGCUCCGCCUGAGUAGUACGGUCGCAAGACUGAAACUCAAAGGAAUUGACGGGCACCCGCACAAGCAGCGGAGCAUGCCGUUUAAUUCGACGCUACGCGAAGAACCUUACCAAGAUUUGACAUCCCUAGCAAAGCUAUAGAAAUAUAGUGGAGGUCAUCUAGGAGACAGGUGGUGCAUGGUUGUCGUCAGCUCGUGUCGUGAGAUGUUCGGUUAAGUCCGAUAACGAGCGCAACCCUUAUCAUUAGUUACUAACAUUUAGUUGAGGACUCUAAUGAGACUGCCGAUAAUAAAUCGGAGGAAGGUGGGGAUGACGUCAAAUCAUCAUGCCCCUUACAUCUUGGGCUACAGGCGUGCUACAAUGGCUGGUACAAUGAGCUGCAAUCCCGCGAGGGGGAGCGAAUCUAAAAAGCCAGUCUCAGUUCGGAUUGAAGUCUGAAACCCGACUUCAUGAAGCUGAAGUUGCUAGUAAUCCCGGAUCAGAAUGCCGGGGUGAAUACGUUCUCGGGUGU